GCCUAUAAAUAUAUCCAUCCAAAGACACAUUCAAGGGGACAGUUUAGGAGAAGGGAGGAAGAAACAUUCUGCCGCAAGGCAGAGUCUUUUCUUCUUAACCAUUCUACACAUUUCCACAACAAAAACACAAUUCCAUGCACCUUCAUUUCCCUUUCCUUUCCGUGACCUCUAUCCAACCUAAACACAUUCAGCCAUUCCCUUCCAUAUAUCCAUAUGCAUCCAUCAAACCACACCUUGUGCCGCAACAAAGAGAAGAAGGAGGACCCUUGGACGUGCUUGCCAUUCAAGUUGGAUUGUUGGAGCGUUUUUAGGUGUUUUCAUUCUUUUGUUUUCAAUGUCUAAAUUUGUUUAUCUUUGCUUUGUGAGUAUGAAGAACUAAACCCCCCUUAGCUAGGGGGAAUUCAAAGCCAUGAACAUACUUGCAAUAUGAAUUGAUUACCUUCAGUUGUGAUUUCAUAAGUUGUGAAUUCAAUUUGUUUAACUGCUUGAUUGAUAACUUAUUAGUGUAUGUUUAUUAAGAGUGCACACUUAGUUUGCAUGCAUGAAUAUGAUGCUAGAGUAUAAGGGAGUAUCACCUAAUAGUUACAAACUUAUAUUCACAAGUAGUGAAUGUUGCUUAUAAACGAUCGCGUUAAAUGAAUUAUUGGCAGGAGUUUCAUGCUCAUCAUAGUAACGAAUGCCUCGUCAAUACUUAUAGUUUUCAUAAUGCUUAAUGAUCUUUGAUUGUAUCUUUAUUGUGCUGUUCACGAAAAAGACUUUUGAAGAAUGCU
rnacentral:lncRNA from 1 species